rnacentral:rRNA from 1 species
UACGUAGGUGGCAAGCGUUGUCCGGAUCUACUGGGCGUAAAGGGCGUGCAGGCGGUCUGUUAAGUUCAGGGUGAAAGCUCCCGGCUCAACUGGGAGAGGUCCUUGGAUACUGGCAGACUUGAGGGAGGUAGAGGAGAGUGGAAUUCCCGGUGUAGUGGUGAUAUGCGUAGAUAUCGGGAGGAACACCAGUGGCGAAGGCGGCUCUCUGGGCCUUUCCUGACGCUGAGACGCGAAAGCGUGGGGAGCGAACCGG